rnacentral:rRNA from 1 species
CCUACGGGUGGCAGCAGUAGGGAAUAUUGCUCAAUGGGGGAAACCCUGAAGCAGCAACGCCGCGUGGGGGAUGAAGGUUUUCGGAUUGUAAACUCCUUUUGUUAGAGAAGAUAAUGACGGUAUCUGACGAAUAAGCACCGGCUAACUCCGUGCCAGCAGCCGCGGUAAUACGGAGGGUGCCAGCGUUACUCGGAAGCACUGGGCGUAAAGAGCGCGUAGGCGGGAUAGCAAGUCAGAGGUGAAAUCCUAUGGCUUAACCAUAGAACUGCAUUUGAAACUGUUAUUCUAGAGUAUGGGAGAGGUAUGUGGAAUGCGUGGUGUAGCGGUAAAAUCCGUAGAGAUCAAGAGGAACACUCAUUGCGAAGGCGACAUGCUAGAACAUAACUGACGCUGAGGCGCGAAAGCGUGGGGAGCAAACAGGAUUAGAUACCCCGGUAGUC